AACGCUAGCGACAGGCCUAACACAUGCAAGUCAGGGGCAGCACAAGGAGCAAUCUGAGGUGGCGACCGGCGCACGGGUGAGUAACACGUAUGCAACCUGCCUGUAAGCGGGGAAUAACCCGUUGAAAGACGGACUAAUACCGCAUAAUACUAAAUUACUGCAUGGUAAUUUAUUUAAACAUUUAUGGCUUACAGAUGGGCAUGCGCAUGAUUAGCUAGUUGGAGAGGUAACGGCUCCCCAAGGCAACGAUCAUUAGGGGUUCUGAGAGGAAGGUCCCCCACACUGGUACUGAGACACGGACCAGACUCCUACGGGAGGCAGCAGUGAGGAAUAUUGGUCAAUGGACGAGAGUCUGAACCAGCCAAGUCGCGUGCAGGAAGAAUGUCCCUAUGGAUUGUAAACUGCUUUUGCAGGGGAAUAAAGUGCAUCACGUGUGAUGUUUUGUAUGUACUCUGCGAAUAAGGAUCGGCUAACUCCGUGCCAGCCGCUGC
rnacentral:rRNA from 1 species